UACGGAGGGUGCGAGCGUUGUUCGGAAUCACUGGGCGUAAAGGGCGUGUAGGCGGUCUGGUAAGUCUGAUGUGAAAGCCCGGGGCUCACCCCCGGAAGUGCAUUGGAUACUGGCGGACUCGAGUCCCGGAGAGGAGGGUGGAAUUCCUGGUGUAGCGGUGAAAUGCGUAGAUAUCAGGAGGAACACCGGUGGCGAAGGCGGCCCUCUGGACGGUGACUGACGCUGAGACGCGAAAGCGUGGGGAGCAAACGGG
rnacentral:rRNA from 1 species